GUGAAUCAUCGAAUCUUUGAACGCAAAUUGCACUCUCUUCGGAGAGUAUGCCUGUUUGUGGGUCAGCCUAAAAAAAAAUCGACAUAGUCUUUGUUUCUUUGUGAAAUUGGUCGGGGAUUGGGUCAUUUUAAACAUUUGGGUUUUAAGGGGCUUAAAAUUUUUGUUACGAUUUCAGGUACGUUUCUAAGAUUUACUUAUUUUAAGGUUAAG
rnacentral:misc_RNA from 1 species